AAUACUUAGUGGCGGACGGGUGAGUAACGCGUGAGAAUCUGCCCUUAGGUCGGGGACAACCAUUGGAAACGAUGGCUAAUACCGGAUAAGCCGGAAGGUAAAAGAUUAAUUGCCUAGGGAAGAGCUCGCGUCUGAUUAGCUAGUUGGUGAGGUAAAGGCUCACCAAGGCAUCGAUCAGUAGCUGGUCUGAGAGGAUGACCAGCCACACUGGGACUGAGACACGGCCCAGACUCCUACGGGAGGCAGCAGUGGGGAAUUUUCCGCAAUGGGCGAAAGCCUGACGGAGCAAGACCGCGUGAGGGAGGAAGGCUCUUGGGUUGUAAACCUCUUUUCUUGGGGAAGAACACAAUGACGGUACCCAAGGAAUCAGCAUCGGCUAACUCCGUGCCAGCAGCCGCGGUAAUACGGAGGAUGCAAGCGUUAUCCGGAAUUAUUGGGCGUAAAGCGUCCGCAGGUGGCACUUCAAGUCUGCUGUCAAAGACCGGGGCUUAACCCUGGAGAGGCAGUGGAAACUGAAGCGCUAGAGUGUCGUAGGGGUAGAGGGAAUUCCUGGUGUAGCGGUGAAAUGCGUAGAGAUCAGGAAGAACAUCGGUGGCGAAAGCGCUCUACUGGACGACAACUGACACUCAGGGACGAAAGCUAGGGGAGCGAAUGGGAUUAGAUACCCCAGUAGUCCUAGCCGUAAACGAUGGAUACUAGGUGUGGCUUGUAUCGACCCGAGCCGUGCCGUAGCUAACGCGUUAAGUAUCCCGCCUGGGGAGUACGCGCGCAAGCGUGAAACUCAAAGGAAUUGACGGGGGCCCGCACAAGCGGUGGAGUAUGUGGUUUAAUUCGAUGCAACGCGAAGAACCUUACCAGGGCUUGACAUGUCUGGAAUCUGCUUGAAAGGGCAGAGUGCCUUCGGGAGCCAGAACACAGGUGGUGCAUGGCUGUCGUCAGCUCGUGUCGUGAGAUGUUGGGUUAAGUCCCGCAACGAGCGCAACCCUCGUUUUUAGUUGCCAUCAUUAAGUUGGGCACUCUAGAGAGACUGCCGGUGACAAACCGGAGGAAGGUGGGGAUGACGUCAAGUCAGCAUGCCCCUUACGUCCUGGGCUACACACGUACUACAAUGCGACGGACAAAGGGCAGCCAACCAGCAAUGGUGCGCUAAUCCCAUAAACCGUGGCUCAGUUCAGAUCGCAGGCUGCAACUCGCCUGCGUGAAGGAGGAAUCGCUAGUAAUUGCAGGUCAGCAUACUGCAGUGAAUCCGUUCCCGGGCCUUGUACACACCGCCCGUCACACCAUGGAAGCUGGCCACGCCCGAAGUCGUUACCCUAACCUGUAUUGGAGGGGGAUGCCGAAGGCAGGGCUGGUGACUGGGGUGAAGUCGUAACAAGGUAGCCGUACCGGAAGGUGUGGCUGGAUCACCUCCUUUUAGGGAGACCUGUUUCACAAUCGAUAUUUAAGAUGAAAGUCUUAGCUGCGUUUGUGAAAGCAUCCCAAGGUCGUACGAGGCAGUAGACUUAAACUUUUAAACUAUUAACCGGUUCGGUGCAUGGGCUAUUAGCUCAGGUGGUUAGAGCGCACCCCUGAUAAGGGUGAGGUCCCUGGUUCGAGUCCAGGAUGGCCCAUACUCUGCACCAGGAGCGACAAGUAAUUAGGAACCCAACCCUCAGCACCUUAUUUUGUUAACAAUCAAAAUCUGAUUGCUCUCAAAAGAGAAUGCUGGGCGUAAAGUCCAGUCAUGUACCUUGAAAACUGCAUAGCAAAAAGAAGAGAAACUUGAAGGAAUUUCUACUAGCAAGUGCUUAUUAGUUUAAGUACAGCUAGAUAGAGAAACAAUCAAGCAAUAGU
rnacentral:rRNA from 1 species